rnacentral:lncRNA from 1 species
CUUCCUAAACAUUUUUGGGACGGCAUGAACAUAGUAAAAAGGUUGAAAGACAAAUUCUUGUUAGUUAGUAGACUAACUUGUGAGGCUUUGUGUCUCUUGGGCCUGCUGGUGGGCUUCAGGAAGAACCUGAAACAAGACAUAAGAGAUAUGGAUUAGUGUAGGUUCAAUAAGGAAAUUAUUUCCUUAUAGUAUUAGGAAUAAUACAAUCCUUUUCCAUCUAGGAAAACCUACGAUCUAUUUUGUAUAAAUAGAAGUCUAGGUUCUCAUUGUUAGAUAUAGAAACAUAAAACUCUCUAAAGCAUAGAACACGCAACUAGUGCGAAGCUUGUAACGUUUUCGAUUCAUAGUGAUAUAGAGUUUGUCUCCGGUUUGGAGAGGACUCGCCCAACAUAUUGUUGUGUCGAUUUACUUGUUACAAGAAACAGCCAAGGUCGUUUCUCUACAAGUGGUAUCAGAGCCAGGUUAACAGAGAUCCUAGUUACAGAGAUUCGAAGGCAAGAUUCAAUAAACAAGCAAGGAGAAUUCUUAUCUGGUGCGGAGAAGAAGACUCAGCUCGUUGGUGAUUGAAGCUUGAAGACUACGGCGUGUUACAGCAACCUGCAAACAAAGGAAAAUAAGUUUACGGGUUAUAAGAAAGAUGGAAGCAAUUUCAAAGAAAUUUGAAGUGGAAAAAUUUGAUGGAAAAGGUGAUUUUGGUCUAUGGAAAUAUAAGAUGCUGUGUCAGUUAGAGAUCUUUGGUUUGGGGUCUGUUCUUAAGGAGAAAACUCCUUCUACGGAUGUUGAAGGUGAAGAACAGAAAGAUGAAAAACCUGAUCCUAAGGAGCAAGACCGGGAAUUGCGUACAAAGAAUCUGAUCAGUUUGUGUCUAUCUGACCUUAUUCUGCGCAAGGUUAUGCAAGAGCCUACAGCACUGGCUAUGUGGAAGGCUCUAGAAGCUGAGUAUCAGACCAAGACAUUACCAAAUCGAAUCUACAUGAAGCAGAGAUAUGCAGGUUUUAGAAUGGAAGAGCACAAGUCCAUUGAAGAAAAUAUGGAUGUGUUUCUGAAACUUGUGGCUGAUCUAGCAAGUCUGGAUAUUAAGAUCAGUGAAGAAGAUCAAGCAAUUCAGAUCUUAACCAGCUUGCCCAAGCAAUACGAGUCUCUCGUUGAUGCAUUAAAAUACGGCAGCGGCAAAGAAAUUUUAACGGUUCGUGAUGUUACUAGCUCAGCUUAUUCUAAGGAAGUAGAAUUAAGAGAGAAGGGACUCCUCAACAAGUCCAAAGGUAACUCGGAGGGGCUGUUUGCUGGCGACAACAGAGGCAGAGGGGAGAAGAAGAGCGAUAAAACUUGGAGAGCUAGAUCUAAAAGCAAUAACAGAUCAAAAUCAAGACCUAAGUUCUCUAAAGAAUGUUGGACGUGUGGCAAGGAAGGACAUUUUAAAAAGCAGUGUCCAGAAAGAAAGAAGCCAUCAAAUUCAGUCAACAUAGCAGAAGAGAAGGAGGAACCAUUGGUAUUAGUGGCUAGCCAGCAAGCUACUAAGGACGAGUGGGUACUUGAUUCUGGCUGUACAUUUCAUAUCACCCCAAAUAAAGAUGUCUUAUUUGAUCUUGAAGACAUAGAAGGAGGAAAGGUUUUGAUGGGAAAUAACACUAUCAGCGAGAUUAAAGGGAUCGGGAAAAUCAGGAUCAUGAAUGAUGAUGGAUCGAGCGUGAUUCUCACUGAUGUUCGUUACAUGCCUACAAUGGGCAGAAACCUUAUCUCCUACGGUUUAUUGGAAAAGAUGGGAUGCAGAUACGAAGGCAAAGACUUCAUGGUGCAGUUUUACAAAGGAGAUAAGAAGGUUAUUUCUGGAAAAUACUGUGAUGGUCUGUACUACUUACAAGGGACAGUAUUGGAUGGUGAAGCUGCAGUCGCAAGACCUGAUAUCGAUUUGACUAAAAGGUGGCACUCUAGGCUUGGACAUAUGAGUCUAAAGGGCAUGAAUAUUUUAGUCAAGGACGGAUAUUUAAACGAAAAGGAUGUGAAGACGUUAGAGUUUUGCGAGAAUUGCGUUCUGGGCAAAGCACACAAGCUAAGUUUUCCAAAAGGCAAGCACACGACUAAGGAAGUCCUAGAGUACAUCCAUUCAGAUUUAUGGGGUUCACCUUCGGUGGUAGAGAGUCUCGGAGGAUGUUUCUAUUUUGUUACAUUCAUUGAUGAUUUUUCUAGGAAAGUUUGGAUCUAUUUCCUAAAAUCAAAAAAUGAAGUGUUUCAAAACUUCAAGGAAUGGAAAACAUGCGUGGAGACUGAGACAGGAAAGAAGGUGAAGUGUCUUAGGACAGAUAACGGAUUAGAGUUCUGCAAUACACAGAUGGACACAUUGUGUAAGGAAGCAGGGAUUAAAAGACACAGAACAUGCGUCUAUACUCCACAGCAAAACGGAGUAUCAGAACGCAUGAACCGUACUAUUAUGGAGAAGGUAAGAUGUAUGUUGACAGAGGCAGGCUUAGAGCAAAAGUUCUGGGCGGAAGCGGCUUCUACAGCUGUCUACUUAAUCAACCGAUCUCCUAGUACAGCUAUUAACUUCAAACUACCGGCAGAGGUUUGGUCUGGAACCAAAACAGACUUAAAUCAUCUAAGGAAAUUCGGAUGUACAGCUUAUGUUCACGUGACUCAAGCCAAAACCAGUCCAAGAGCGAUGAAAGGAGUUUUUAUGGGAUAUCCAGACGGGACUAAAGGUUAUCGAGUUUGGUUACCAGAAGAACUAAGAUGUACAGUAAGCAGAAACGUGAUUUUCAAUGAGGAAGAGAUGUUUAAAGACAUUAAAGGAAUCAGCGAGAAGAAGAGGAAAACGAAAAAGGUAACGUUCAAUCCUGUGCUGAUUCAAGGACCAUCAAACACAACUACAGACACUGAAACAGAGGAUACAGUUCAAGGUGGAGUUUCUCCAGCAUCAGAAAACUCGGAACCUGAAUCCGCAAGCUCAGAAAGUGAAGAAGAAGUUGUGGGAGCUCAACAGGAAAAUCUAGACAACUACAUUCUUGCUAGAGAUAGAAUCAGGAGGGAAGUAAAGAAACCUUCUAGGUUUGAUGAUUCAGAUUGCGUGGCUUAUGCUCUAGCUACAGCAGAAGAAAUAAAUAAGGAUGAGCCUAAAUCCUAUUUGGAAGCAAGAAGAAGUAAGAGCUGGAAGUUAUGGAACGAGGGAAUGCAAGAAGAGAUGGAUUCAUUGGAGAAAAAUCAGACUUGGAAGCUGGUUGAGAAACCAGAGAAAAAGAAGAUUAUUGGCAGCAAGUGGGUUUUCAAGCUGAAAGAAGGCAUUCCUGGAAUUGAGAAGCCGAGAUACAAAGCUAGAUUAGUAGCUAAAGGGUUUUCACAAGUUGAAGGGAUCGACUACACAGAGGUGUUUGCACCAGUGGUGAAACACGUGUCGAUUAGAAUUAUGUUGUCACUUGUUGCAAAUUAUGAUCUAGAUUUGGAACAACUAGACGUGAAAACGGCUUUCCUGUACGGAACGUUAGACGAGGAGAUUUAUAUGGCACAGCCAGAAGGUUUCGUUGAGGAGGGAAAAGAAGAUCAAGUUUGUCUCCUGUUGAAAUCCCUUUACGGAUUAAAACAGUCACCAAGACAGUGGAAUAGGAGAUUUGAUAGUUUCAUGAAGCAACAAGGCUUCGAAAGAAGUGCAUAUGAUCCUUGUGUCUACAUGAAAGGUUCAGAUUUAUCUCAUAUGGUUUAUCUCUUGAUCUAUGUUGAUGACAUGCUCAUAGCAUCUAAGGAUUCUAAAGAAAUUAAAAGAAUCAAAGAUAGCUUGAAGAGAGAGUUUGAGAUGAAGGACCUUGGAGCAGCUUCAAGAAUACUUGGAAUGGAUAUUAUUAGAGACAGGAAGAAAGGAACUCUAAAACUAUCGCAAGGGAAGUAUCUACAGAAGGUGCUGGAAACUUUUAACAUGGCAGAGAGCAAAGCUGUGGUUACUCCUAUCGGACCACAAUUUAAGCUUAAAAGUUUGACACAAAAGGAAGAGCACGAGGAAGCAAGGUUCAUGAACGUGAUUCCAUACGCAUCAGCCGUUGGAAGUUUAAUGUAUGCAAUGGUGGGAUCUAGACCAGACUUAUGUUUCGCAGUAGGCUUAAUCAGCCGUUAUAUGAGCAAGCCAGGAAGAAUACACUGGGAAGCUGUUAAGUGGGUGAUGAGAUAUCUUAAAGGAGCUCUAGAUUCGGAUCUAUUGUUUACUAAAGGAGAAGAUUUCAAAGUACAAGGAUUCUGUGACGCAGACUACGCAACCGAUUUGGACAGAAGAAGAUCCGUGACAGGAUAUGUGUUUCAAGUCGGAGGCAACACAAUAAGCUGGAGAUCAGGUCUCCAACAUAUUGUCGCACUAUCAACGACAGAAUCAGAAUACAUGGCAUUAGCCGAAGCUUUUAAAGAAGCAUUAUGGCUUAAGGGGUUUGUUAGUGAAUUGGGAUUCAAGCAAGAUGAUGUGAGAGUGUUUUCAGAUUCACAGAGUGCUAUACACUUAGCUAAGAAUGGAGGAUUCCAUGAAAGGACUAAGCAUAUAGAUACUAGACUACACUUUAUGAGAGACGUAAUUGAGGCUGGCGAUGUUACGGUUCACAAGAUUCACACAUCUAUCAACCCUGCAGAUUUUCUAACUAAGUGUGUACCUGGACAGAAGUUCGAGACAUGCUUGGAGAUCCUCAAGGUUCUGCCUUAGAAGGUCUCGUGUGGCUGCAGAUGACAAUGCUGUCGAGUUGAUCACCUCGCGGAAAGGCCACAAAAGAAAGUAUCAGUUUCAGGAAAAGCAAACUGAUGGUUCGACAGGGAGUUACAAAGCUUGAAAAAAAAAAAAAAAAAAUUUGAGUGAAGGAGAUUACUUUUUUGAAGAAUGGUUAUAGACAGGAGUUGUCUAUGCAAGGAACCUGCAAAAUUAUUCAUACUAGUCAAAGAAUUUCUAUGCAGGGGCCAUAAGCUUCAAUAGAAGCUGGGAAAUCAUUUAAAAAGGAAGAAGCCAAUGUUAUACCUGAAGGAGAAUGUGUUGGUAGCAAAGAAUCGUCUACAAACAUGGCUGGAGAUUAAUAACAAAGGAAAAUUAUUAUUUUUCCAGUCACAGGCUCUUAUAAACAGCACUGAAUAUAUCAACUAGUGUACGUUGAUAGGAAAGUUCAGAUCAUUACCAAAGGAAGCUAAGUUGGUGAAGAGACGUCUACAUCAAGUGAGCUGUAAAAGUCAACAAUAUAAAGCUUUAGUAACAAAAGCUCAACAAGUUGGAAAGAGGUAACUGAACAAGAGAUAAAUCAAGACACGUAUUCAGGAAGGAAUAAAAGUCAAAACCAAAGAAAGUACCUUUUAUUUUGACAAGUAUUGGUUUCGGUCUCGUGGGUGUCGUGAGAUGAGAUCGAGAGAGUUUGUCACGGAGACACAACGGAUUCAUCAAAGCUCAAGCUGGAAAACAGAAUUGAAAUCAAAGGUUAGAGCUUUACUCAAAAUAUCUGAAGAAAGAGAUAAAGGAGGAGCAAAGGUAACCUGAGAUAUCAAUGGCGGAAGCGGUAGAAGCCAACGCCGGUGAAGACAAGCGGCGGUGAAGUCAGGAUCUUGUCUGGUUCACGGAGAAUCGAAGAGAGGAAGUGUUCGGAGAAAAGAAGAGAAGCAAGGAUCGGAAAGGGCAUGCAACUCCGGUGAAGCGGCGUCGAGGAACAAACGAAGCUUGAAGAAGACGAGGCGGCGAGCUCGUCGGUGCUUCAGUUUUUCAUUUUCGCAGAGAGAGAGAGAUGGAGAAGCGGAGAAGUCGAGGAGUGACUCAAGAGCCAAGGUGGAGAAUGUGAGGCUUUGUGUCUCUUGGGCCUGCUGGUGGGCUUCAGGAAGAACCUGAAACAAGACAUAAGAGAUAUGGAUUAGUGUAGGUUCAAUAAGGAAAUUAUUUCCUUAUAGUAUUAGGAAUAAUACAAUCCUUUUCCAUCUAGGAAAACCUACGAUCUAUUUUGUAUAAAUAGAAGUCUAGGUUCUCAUUGUUAGAUAUAGAAACAUAAAACUCUCUAAAGCAUAGAACACGCAACUAGUGCGAAGCUUGUAACGUUUUCGAUUCAUAGUGAUAUAGAGUUUGUCUCCGGUUUGGAGAGGACUCGCCCAACAUAUUGUUGUGUCGAUUUACUUGUUACAAGAAACAGCCAAGGUCGUUUCUCU